CCAACCUUUCUUUAAUAAACUGUUAAACUGCGACUGAUGUACAGGCACAGUACAAGGUUUUCGGUACAGGUCAGAGUACGUUUCAGAAAAGAUGGGAUUGCUAUUUUUGCUGUUCGAACUUUCUUAGGUUUCGAGACGUGAGCUCGAGGCGAUGAAGGGUCGAGCCUGAGGGACUUCCCAUUUUUCAGUGUGUGUGUCGUGGUGGCGAGGAGCGGUGGUGUAGCUUCCUUUGGCUGCUGCUGCUCCUGCUCCUCCUUUCUUUUCCCUCUUUAGUCUUUUUUAACGCUUGUCCUCGUGUCCCUCUUCCUCCUCGUUGCCUUUCCAUCGUUAUCGUUAUCAUCAUCCUCGCCCUCUCCGCUGGCUUUGUGUUCCUCACCUUACAUCUGCAGAUGGGGCUCACAUUCCUCUUCCUUUUUCUGCUGAUUCAACGCUUCUCGAUUUUAGUUUUCUUUCUCCUCGUUCUCAUCUUUUAUCUUGUCCUCCACCACUCCUCUCCACACGAACAAGGACACACACACGCCACACUGUCACUGUCGAUCCGGUGUCAUUGCAACGUCUUGUUCAGUCGUGAUGGUCCUCGUCCAGCUCCUCGCCACCUCACCACACGCCACCACCGUCCCUGUUGAUGCU